CGGGGCGUGGCGCAGCCAGGUGAGCGCGCGUGGAUCGGGACCACGAGGUCGGCGGUUCAAAUCCGCCCGCCCCGACAA
rnacentral:tRNA from 2 species